rnacentral:tRNA from 1 species
GCAUUGGUGGCUCAGUGGUAGAAUUCUCACGUUCCAUGUGAGACUCGGGUUCGAUUCCUGGCCUGUGCA